CGCGGCGGGCGGGGCGGGGGCACGGGGGGCCUACGGGAGGCAGCAGUCGGGAAUUUUGGGCAAUGGGGGAAACCCUGACCCAGCAACGCCGCGUGAAGGAUGAAGUAUUUCGGUAUGUAAACUUCGAAAGAAUGGGAAGAAUCAAUGACGGUACCAUUUAUAAGGUCCGGCUAACUACGGUGCCAGCACCCGCG
rnacentral:rRNA from 1 species